CCUGGGAAAGAGGCUCUUGUCUCAUGUACAUGUCUUUAAAGAAGAAAUUACUUCUUUCACGGUUAUGCAAACUGGUCCCUACAUGUAUGUUGGAGACUCUGAUGGCAACAUCAAGAUUUUAAAGAUUGAACAAGAAGUAUGUAAUGUUGUACAAAUGAAAUACACUUACCUUUCUCAGCCUCUCAUGGAAAUCCAACGGAAGUUUUAGCUGAUAGGGCUGUUAUCUCCAUACUCCCUCAGCCAACAGCUA